GCAUAGAUGAAUUCUGCAUUGGCUUCUUUAGUAGCUAAUGCAGUCAGACACUAUGCUAUAUUAUAUUUCCUUUUAACUUAUUCCUAAACGGUAUGCUCUGUGUAAAGUUAGCAUAUCCAUGCAAGAAGGAUACACGA
ensembl:snoRNA small nucleolar RNA SNORA15